CAUAUAAUUCUCUUGGUACUUUUUAAUGAAAUUACUUGAUAAAGUUUUCCCAUUUCUUCAUUUUAUUGAAGAAAUGCAGAAAGCUUUUUCUUUUUAAAAUAAAUGUCUCACAUUCCUUUUUGACAGUAGGAUCUUUCAUUUGCUCAAUUUUCCCCAAGCAAGCAAUCAAUGGUUUAUUCAGUCUUCCCAGGUAGCUCCUGACUCAAAUGUAAGUACCAAUGCAAACAAAAAUGAAGAGAAGGUAGGAGAGGCAAAGUACUCGAGUCAUUCUCUCAACGAGGCUGGGAUGUUACAGUAUACUUUAUUGCUCUAUGAAUCUAAGAUUGAUCCAGUCUUCGAAGAAUGAGGCCAGAAGAUCAGAAGAUAUCUUUCAUCAGCUUCAGGAAAUCUAGGAAUCUGUUAAACUUGUCUUUUUGAAUUGUUUGCUAGGUUUUACUGUUCAUCUUGAAAACAACAUGGGUAGUGAGCUUACCCAGAGUAGAUCAAGUAGAG